rnacentral:rRNA from 1 species
UGAACGCUGGCGGUAUGCUUAACACAUGCAAGUCGAACGGUAGCAUGACUUAGCUUGCUAAGUUGAUGACGAGUGGCGAACGGGUGAGUAACGCGUAGGAAUAUGCCUUAAAGUGGGGGACAACUUGGGGAAACUCAAGCUAAUACCGCAUAAUAUCUUUGGAUAAAAGCUAGGGACCUUCGGGCCUGGCGCUUUAAGAUUAGCCUGCGUCCGAUUAGCUAGUUGGUAGGGUAAAGGCCUACCAAGGCGACGAUCGGUAGCUGGUCUGAGAGGAUGACCAGCCACACUGGAACUGAGACACGGCCCAAACUCCUACGGGAGGCAGCAGUGGGGAAUCUUGCGCAAUGGGCGAAAGCCUGACGCAGCCAUGCCGCGUGAAUGAUGAAGGUCUUAGGAUUGUAAAAUUCUUUCAGCGGGGACGAUAAUGACGGUACCGCAGAAGAAGCCCCGGCUAACUUCGUGCCAGCAGCCGCGGUAAUCUGAUGGCG